UAUUCAAACGCAUAUGUUUAAAUAAAACUAGUAUAGCAACGUUACACAUAUACUGCAACGUUAUGCAGUAUAUUUUUGGUGGCGAGGAAGGCGAUUUCAUACGAGUUGAACUUCGGUUAAGAUCUAUAAACACAACUGUAUCUAUUACUAGAUUUUUGGGCUCAUCUUCAAAUAAAGAUAUAAACUCUAAAUCCAAAUUUGCAUUCAAGUUGCUAAUCCGAGAUUGCUGUUCAGCAAUUUUACAGGCUGAAAUAAAACAGCAACACCACUACUGGUAUGAUUUUGAGUUUAUUCAUAGAAUAAAGUUACAAAUGAAAAACAUUCCCACGCACACACAGUUCAGUUGUCAGGUUGGAGGUCACUUGCUGGUGGGCUUGUAUGGGUCGGACCAGACCUUGACCCAUACAGCGCCACAGGGAAACAACAAAGACAAACGGUAAACGGACUGCAUUUAUACCGCGCCUUUCUAACUAGUGGCCAAUCAGUGCUUUACAAUAUAGGCUAACAUUCACCCAUUCACACAGUGAUGGCAGAGUCAUCCACGCAGGGCGACAGUCAGCUCCUCAGGAGCAGUCAGGGUGAGGCGUCUCGCCCAGGGACACCUCCACACUCCUGAGCCACAUACCGCCCGAGAGAUGAGAUUAGAACCAACUCACGCAGCAGUGCAGAACGUUGCCGGAUCAAUUUGCACGAUUGACCACUGGGUGCUCUUAGCCCAAAGCCAUUUCAGCCUAGAUAUAUGAUGGAUAGAUCAGUCACACACAACACUAAGGGGGUGCUGAAAUGGGCCUCGAGAUAAGAAGGUCAGGUUAUGCAAAGGACUACAAUGACGAGCAUCAAAUCAGACUACAGAGGCAAAAGUACAAGAAAGCAAGACAUCGGCGAUCACAACUGUCUCAAAAACACACCCUCUAAGCACUAUAACAACGCGUGUGAAUGUUGUCACCAAUUACAUUUUUCCAUCCCAGUAUGCUUGAUACCUUGCCAAGGAGGCACCGUUUGACUUCAGUUUUAAAGACAUGCCUGUCCUCAGAAAAUGGUGGUGCACAGUACUGCUUGAGAACUUCCAUCUGGAUGGGCACAGCAGAAGGUUCCCACACUUCAUGAGAAGCCAAACAAAUGGCGGCUGAACUACUUCCACCAGUCUUCAGACUGAAGCGAAAAAGAGAAGUGAAUGACGUUUCCAGUGACAGGAUACAAAUAAUAUAUUGUAUAGGCUUAAUAUUGAUUUGACUGUUUGAUUUUUUUUACAG
ensembl:lncRNA